rnacentral:rRNA from 1 species
AUUGAACGCUGGCGGCAUGCCUUACACAUGCAAGUCGAACGGUAACGGGCCUUCGGGUGCCGACGAGUGGCGAACGGGUGAGUAAUGCAUCGGAACGUACCUUUCAGUGGGGGAUAACGUAGCGAAAGUUACGCUAAUACCGCAUAUUCUGUGAGCAGGAAAGCAGGGGAUCGCAAGACCUUGCGCUGAUUGAGCGGCCGAUGUCAGAUUAGCUAGGUGGUGAGGUAAAGGCUCACCAAGGCGACGAUCUGUAGCGGGUCUGAGAGGAUGAUUCGCCACACUGGAACUGCGACACGCGCCAGACUCCUACGGGAGUCAGCAGGGUGGAAUUUGGGACAAUGGGGGCAACCCUGAUCCAGCCAUGCCGCGUGAGUGAAGAAGGCCUUCGGGUUGUAAAGCUCUUUCGGCCGGGAAGAAAUCGCACGGGCUAAUACCCUGUGUGGAUGACGGUACCGGAAUAAGAAGCACCGGCUAACUACGUGCCAGCCGCCGCGGUAA